ensembl:lincRNA 4930509K18Rik RIKEN cDNA 4930509K18 gene
AGAAGAACCGGAAGUCGGGCUGGGCUGAGCCCCUCAAAGCCCAUUAACAGGGAACUACUUCUCCACAGAGGCUCCACCCCCCUCAAGGCUUGCUUAGCUUUAGAGGGCUAGUCUUUGCUCAUUAUAGUAGGGAGCGGACAAUCAUGAUGCUGGAGCCGUAGUUAAAAGCUUUACAUCCUGAUUCACAGGCGGCAGACAGAGAGACACUGGACCUGAUGUGACUUUUGAAACCUUAGAGCCCACUCCCAGAGAUAAGACCACACUUCCUAAUCCUUCCCAAACAGUUCUACUAACUGGGGGCUAAGCGUUUAAACAUAUGGGCACAUGGGAGCCAUUUUCAUUCACACCACCACCGUCCCCAGUUGAGAAUCAUGGGAGUUACACUGUGCUUGCUCUGAGUUUACCUCUAGGAGGACUGGCAGUUUUUCCAUUAGGUUCUUGGAGCUCUAAGAGGCCACAGAGAGAAGCUCUACGACUCCACGGAGAAGUAUUGGGCUGUUACCAAGCUGGUGUGAAGGCCCUGUGGAUCCUCCAGGCUACCUCAUGAACCUGUUCACCAGACAUCACACAGAGAACAGCCAUCCAGUUGAAUCCUGCCCAAAUGCUUUACCCAUGAAAUGGAUUUCACGAGGUUCACACAUAUCUCAAACCUCAUCGGAGAAAUUUCUAUUUGCAGUAGACAGUAAUCAACGCAGAUAUUUGCAAAUGGUCAAGGAGAAUCCACGAAGGGCAUGAUAGUCUGGAAGCGAAGAUGCUUCCCUUCGUGUCUGUAAAACAGAGAAGACUGUCAGUGCUCAGGAGUCAGGACUGCUGCUGUGUCCCUCAGUGACCCACUUAGAGGAGAUACCUGGACAACGUCAGCCACCCUGAUCAGAGCAUUCAUCCUCUGGUCCUGAGAUCCCGUCCUGCUUCCCCUGAGUCUUUCUCUGUGAAUUUGUCUUUCUCUUUUCACAUUCUACUUUCAUAAAGGAAUAAAGAUAGAAUAUUCAAAUUAAAAAAAAUCCCACAAAGAUAUAGUAUUUAAAUGGAGCACUCAGCCUAACUCAAGUUCCAUUUUUGGGUCUGAGUGACAAGAGCCCCCGUUUGCCUGGCUUGUCCUCUCUCUGUGUAUGCUGCUUCCUCUUGAGACCACACAGGAGCAGUGACUUUGUAGCAACUAGAAUUUAUAUGGUAAGGAUCCAGUGUCCAAGGCAUUUGCCUCUCAAAUUAUAAAUAUCUUUCUACAUUCAAAGAGCUGUGUUUAUGGAAAUAAUAUCUAUGGUUAAGCUUCAUAAACAUCAAUUACAUAAUGCUUAGGAAACCCUGGCAUUAACAGUAUAUAUGAAGAUCCCUUCCUUCACCAGCAGUUGAAUCUAUAGUAUGCUGUUAACCCAAGUCUUCACUGACCUACCUCUGGCUUCUUGGUUUGGUUUCUCCUUGGGAGAACACCAGGUCACGGGUGUCUUUUACCUCUAUGUCUUAUGUGCUUGUUUCUUUGUGUUAUUCAUUAAAUAGUGAUGAGACUAUUACUACUAUUAAAUAGGGAUACACUAGGCAUAGCCAAGACAUUGUCAUGCCCAGACCAGAAGUCUCUAGAUUUCCAAGUAUGUCAAUAUCGUCUCCAAAUCUUUCUUCCUACGAAUGAGCAUGUUGCCAUGGUAACAGCUGAGUAUUGGUGUUAUUAAGAAGUCUUACAAGGAGGAAAAUUCUUUUAAUGUAAAGGUAGCACUGUGACUUAUUUAUUUAAAUCAAUUAUUCAUUCCCUUAUUAAAUGAGUUUUCAGGCUGC